rnacentral:ncRNA from 1 species
AUGUAAAUAGCAAACUUGCCGCAAGGCAAGGACGCAAAGCUAAAGGGUCUUUAACAGACAGCCAGUUGCCA